rnacentral:rRNA from 1 species
UAACCAUGAUUCCCCUAGUAACGGCGAGUGAAGAGGGAAAAGCUCAAAGUUGGAACCUGGCUGCCCUAGGCAGUCCGGAUUGUAAACUAAAGAGCGUGAUUCCAGGCAAGCCGGUUGACCAAGUCCUUUGGAAUGAGGCGCCACUGAGGGUGAGAGCCCCGUAAGUCGACUGAGCAUUUGUCUUUUGUGUUUCGCGUUCAGAGAGUCAGGUUGUUUGGGAAUGCAGCCUAAAGCUGGUGGUAAAUCCCACCUAAAGCUAAAUACAGGCGAGAGACCGAUAGCGAACAAGUACCGUGAGGGAAAGAUGAAAAGAACUUUGAAAAGAGAGUUAAACAGUAUGUGAAAUUGCCAAGAGGGAAGCAUUUGGAGUUAGAUUGACUAGGAGUUAAUCAGCUUGGUCUUUGGACUGGGUGUACUUGACUUCUUACAGUCUGCCAAUAGCAGUUAGUCCUAGUGGAAAAAACCAGAGGGAAGGUAGUCCUUCGGGAUGUUUAUAGACCUUUGGAAAAUACACUGGGAUUGACUGAGGAAUGCAGUAGAUGCCACUAAGGCUUCGUCUAGUGGGUGCUAGGCAAAGGUACUUGGUAUUUUCAGCUUGCUGAUGUACUAGGUUACUCGAGUCUAGUCGCCUACUAGAACUGUAAUCUACUUUGGUUAUUGGCUUAAUGACUCUAAAUGGC